AACGUAGGAGACAAACGUUAUCCGGAGUUACUGGGCGUAAAGGGCGUGUAGGCGGUUGACUAAGUCUGGCGUGAAAGCUCGCGGCUAAACCGCGAGAGGUCGUUGGAUACUGGUUGACUAGAGGACGGUAGAGGCGUGUGGAAUUCCGGGUGUAGUGGUGAAAUGCGUAGAGAUCCGGAGGAACACCAGUGGCGAAGGCGACACGCUGGGCCGUACCUGACGCUAAAACGCGACAGCAUGGGGAGCGAACGGG
rnacentral:rRNA from 1 species